ACACAUGCAAGUCGAGGGGAAACGACAUCGAAAGCUUGCUUUUGAUGGGCGUCGACCGGCGCACGGGUGAGUAACGCGUAUCCAACCUGCCCACCACUUGGGGAUAACCUUGCGAAAGUAAGACUAAUACCCAAUGACGUCUCUAGAAGACAUCUGAAAGAGAUUAAAGAUUUAUCGGUGAUGGAUGGGGAUGCGUCUGAUUAGCUUGUUGGCGGGGUAACGGCCCACCAAGGCGACGAUCAGUAGGGGUUCUGAGAGGAAGGUCCCCCACAUUGGAACUGAGACACGGUCCAAACUCCUACGGGAGGCAGCAGUGAGGAAUAUUGGUCAAUGGACGAGAGUCUGAACCAGCCAAGUAGCGUGCAGGAAGACGGCCCUAUGGGUUGUAAACUGCUUUUAUAAGGGAAUAAAGUGAGAGUCGUGACUCUUUUUGCAUGUACCUUAUGAAUAAGGACCGGCUAAUUCCGUGCCAGCAGCCGCGGUAAUACGGAAGGUCCGGGCGUUAUCCGGAUUUAUUGGGUUUAAAGGGAGCGUAGGCCGGAGAUUAAGCGUGUUGUGAAAUGUAGAUGCUCAACAUCUGAACUGCAGCGCGAACUGGUUUCCUUGAGUACGCACAAAGUGGGCGGAAUUCGUGGUGUAGCGGUGAAAUGCUUAGAUAUCACGAAGAACUCCGAUUGCGAAGGCAGCUCACUGGAGCGCAACUGACGCUGAAGCUCGAAAGUGCGGGUAUCGAACAGGAUUAGAUACCCUGGUAGUCCGCACGGUAAACGAUGGAUGCCCGCUGUUGGUCUGAAUAGGUCAGCGGCCAAGCGAAAGCAUUAAGCAUCCCACCUGGGGAGUACGCCGGCA
rnacentral:rRNA from 1 species